UAUUGAAAAAACUGAAGUAUUUUGUAUUGAUAUAUUUACAUGAGAAAUGUAUUGACGGUCCCUAAAUCAGUUUCCAGCGAUUCGCCGCGAGGCUCUGCGCGGUGUGCUAACCGUUUUCCUGCAGCUAUUACCGGGCAAAUCUCCGUGAAGUCGCGGCUGGAACUGGACUGAAUAUCCGUGGAAUAUCCAACCUAAAACGAACUUCACUGCGAUGAGUGGUGUGGGCGGCCAUACUUGGCAAGAUCGGUCGUGCAAAUGGCGGCGUUCCAGAAAACGUGACGUAUAUGAACCGGAUGAAUAUGGAGCAGAACAUAGCCAUGGGCGUGGAAGAGCCAGACCCCAAGGCUUUGAGCAGGUUUUGUGCCUGGGCACGCCAAUCCGGGGCAGAAAGUCAUCUACCAUUAUAGAAUGACUAUCAGAAAGCCCAGUUUAAAUGUAUUGUUUAUUAGUUGUGGUUAGCCUACUAACCCCCCGUCUAUAGCCAGGAAGGCUUGCAGACACACCCUCAACAUAUUCCCAAACAUACCUUUUGGAUAUUUGAGCCUUUGUCUAUCUAAUUAUUUGAUGCAAGAUGAAAGCUGCUUUUUAAGGUGCUAUCUAUGCUUACAUUACUUUACGACCUGCCACAUUUGAGAUGCACACGUUUGAGAUGCACACUGAACAGUCACUUAAUACUCAGGCUAGUAGAUGUUGCUUGCUUCUUUCUGCCCCGAGUUUGCACAGUGCAACAGCGAUGACGUACCUGAGAAAUCCAUGUAUUGAAGACCGGCAAAUAUAUAUAAAAUGAAGGCUUUUAAUGUGAACGCUAUAAUAUGAAGGCUUUCUCACUAUCCUCCUGUUAGUGGCAUUGUUCUUGUCUAUCAGUUUCUAUCAGUAGCCUAAUAUUUAGUUUAAUUCAUUGUUUUCUAUCUCAUGCAGGACCUAGAAACAUGCAGCAAGCGAUCAAUUUCAAUAUGUAUUCAAUACAAUUAUUUGAAUUAUUAAACUGCUGUCUUUAAUUCUUUAA